rnacentral:rRNA from 1 species
GGCUGGCGAUGUGCCUCAGUCGGAUUUGGAACGAGGAGAGCCAGUCCGCCAAUCGACUUGGGGCAUGGACUGACGCGAAUUGUGAUGGUGGCCCAAGCCCAGGCUGUUGACAUGCUCAUGAAGACGUCAUCAUCGCGAUUGUGGUAGGAAAUGCGCGUCGUUUCGUGUGCUUCGGCUCCUGCGUGCUCCGGGCGUCGACCUGUAGGCUCCCUAUUCGGCCCAUCUUGAAACACAUACCAAGAAGUCUGACAUGUGUGCGACCUAGAGGGCAAGUAAACCCGAGAAGCACAAUGAAGCUGAUUGGUGGGAUCCCCUUGUGGGUUGCACCACCGACCGACCCUGAUCUUCUUUGCAGGGUUUGAGUGAGAGCAUACCUAUCGGGACCCGAAAUAUGGUGAACUAUGCCUGAGCGGAGCGAGACCAGAGGAAACUCUGGUGGAGGCCAGCAACGAUACUGACGUGCCAAUCGUUCGUCUGACUUGGGUAUAGGGGCGAAAGACUAAUCGAACUGUCUAGUAGCUUGUUCCCUCCGAAGUUUCACUCAGGAUAGCUAGAGCCUGUAGGUGAGUUCUAUCGGGUAAAGCUAAUGAUUAGAGGCAUCGAGGGUGCAACGCCCUCGACCUAUUCUCAAACUUUAAAUAGGUAGGACGAUAUGGCUGCUUUGUUGAGCCACUCCAUGGAAUUGAGAGCUGCAAGUGGGCCUUUUUUGGUAAGCAGAACUGGCGUUGCGGGAUGAACCGGAAGUUGGGUUACGGUGCCCAACUGUGUGCUAACCUAGACCCCACAAAGGGUGUUGGUCGAUUAAGAUAGCAUGACGCUAGUCAUGGAAGUCAAAAUCCGAUAAGGAGUUUGUAACAACUUACCUGCCGAAUCAACUAGCCCCGAAAAUGGAAGGCGCUAAAGCGUGCGACCCAUACCCGGCCAUCGGGACAAGGGCCAUGCCCCAAUGAGUAGGAGGACGCGACGGUCGCUGCAAAACCUAUAGCGUGAGCCCGGACGGAAUGGUCGUCGGUGUAGAUCUUAGUGGUAGUAGCAAAUAUUCAAAUGAGAACAUUGAAGGCCGAAGAGGGGAAAGGUUCCAUGUGAAUGACACUUGCACAUGGGUUAGUCGAUCCUAAGGGAUGAGGAAAGCCCGUCUGAUAGUGCUCUAAGCGCGCACUCCGAAAGGGAAUUGGGUUAAAAUUCCUGAACCGGGAUGUGGCGGCUGACUACAACGUUAGGGAGUCCGGAGACGACGACGGGGGCCCGGAAAGAGUUAUCUUUUCUGUUUAAUAUCCUUCCCACCCUAGAAACAACUCAACCGGAGGUGGGGUCCAGCGGCUGGAAGAGCACCGCACGUCACGUGAUGUUUGCUGCGCCCCCGAUGGCCCUUGAAAAUCCAGAGGACCGAGUGCCUCCCACGCCCGGUCUUACUCAUAACUGCAUCAGGUCUCCAAGGUGAACAACCUCUAGUCGAUGGAACAAUGUAGGCAAGGGAAGUUUUCAAAAUGGAUCUGUAACCUUGAGAAAAGGAUUGGCUCUGAGGGAUGGGCAUGAAGGUCCCAGUCCCUAACCCGUCGGCUGUCGGUGGACUGCUCAAGAUGCUCUUAUGGCGAGAGUGGGUCGCUGCGUGCCGGUCGGGGGACGGAUUGGGAAUGGGCCCUUCGGGGCCUCUUCCCCAGACAUCAAACAGUCGACUCAAAACUGGUACAGACAAGGGGAAUCUGACUGUUUAAUAAAAACAAAGCAUUGCGAUGGUUCGUGACGAUGUGGAUGCAAUGUGAUUUCUGCCCAGUGCUCUAAAUGUCAAAGUGAAGAAAUUCAACUAAGCGUGGGUAAACGGCAGGAGUAACUAUGACUCUCUUAAAGUAGCCAAAUGACUCGUCAACUAAUUAGUGAUGCGCAUGAAUGGAGUAACGAUAUUCCCAUUGUCCCUAUCUACUAUCCAGCGAAACCGCAGCCAAGGGAACGGGCUUGGCGGAAUCAGCAGGGAAAGAAGACCCCGUUGAGCAUGACUCUAGUCCGACUUUGUGAAAUGACUUGAGAGGUGUAGGAGAAGUGGGAGUUGGAAACAGAGGAACUGAAAUACCACUACUUUUAACAUUAUUUUAGUUAUUCCGUGAAUCGGAGGCGUGGUGCAGCCCCUAUUUUUGGACCCAAGGUCGGCCUCAGUCGGUCGAUCCGGGCGGAAGACAUUGUCAGGUGGGGAGUUUGGCUGGGGCGGCACAUCUGUUAAUAGAUAACGCAUGUGUCCUAAGAUGGGCUCAACGAGAACAAAAAUCUUGUGUGGAACAAAAGGGUAAAAGCUCGUUUGAUUCUGAUUUCUAGUACGAAUACUGUUAGGUAUCAGUGACAGAAUACACCUAGAAGGGGGUGAAUAGGUGUCGCGGCUCCCACUUACCACUAUAUGCCCCAGAACCCUAUUCUGGAAAAUCAUCCAGUUAAUCGAUUAAAGCUAUGACUUAAUCGAUUAAGUCACAUAGAAUUAGCAAUUGCU